UUUUUCGUUCUAUUAAUUUCACUUUCCAUGGCCACUGCUGAGGUAAUCCAGCUUUGUAACUUGACCUUUGAUUAAUUUGUAUAGAAUCCAUCUUUAUGUGAUUUGGUCUUCUUUGAGGUGCAGUGUUCAUCAAAAAACUUUUCCAGUGUCUGUUUGUUUCCUUUUCCGUUUCCUAGCAGGGAAAUUUUUUUGGCAACCAUAUCAUCUUGUUCAGUGAUUGAUCUCAAACAACUGCUAUCGAAACUUGUUAGAUAUAUGAACGAAGUUCAUGAUCCAAAGUUUGUUAUAUUUGGAAAUCAAAGAGCGUUGUAAAAAGGGUUUUAAGAGUAACAUGUGUAGCAGAAAGAUUGAUCUUCAGAAGAAAAAACAGAUAGUUUUCUUAAUUGAAAUGAAAAAAUGAAUAGAUGUGUGGGGGAUUCAAUCCAUAUGCAACUUCAUGGCAGUGUCUUGAUCAUGAUUAAUAUAAAUUAUUUUGAUUCUUCAUCUUUGUGUCUAUAUAUUAUUCAUAGUUUCAAUUAGUAUUUCAGUAAUCAUCUGGUAGUUUGAUGGUUUAAUCCCACAGGUUGUAUCUGCGACACCAGCACUUUCAGAGGAGAAAACUGAAGAAUCAGUUAAGGCAGAAGAGACUCCUGUGGAAGAGGUGGCGGCCGCACCACCUACACCAGAGCCUGUUGCUGAGGAGCCAAAGGAAGCAGAAACUGCAGCUGUGCCCGAGGAAUCUGCGGCUCCAGAAGCUGAAGCCCCUGCUGAUCAGGAUGAGACCAAGGAGGUGGUAGAACAAGUUGAGGUUGAGACCAAGGAGGUGGUGGAAAAAACUGAUCAGGCUGUGGUGGAAGAACCAGCGGUAGAGAAGACAGAAGAGGUCCCAGAGGAGACUCCUGAUCAGGAAACAAACAGCCCAGUUGUGGAGGAAACCAAAGAAGCUACAGAACCAGCUGAGGAACCAGCACCAAAACCAGAACCAGCACCUGCAGAUGAAGCUCCAAAAGAAGAAGGUCCUGCUGCAGAAGAAGAAGAGAAACCAGCUGAAGCUAAAGUGAAAGUUGAGACAGAUGAGAAGGCUGAGUGAUGAGUCUAUGAGUGUAUGGCCGAGUGAAAUUAAAAGUUUGUGUGAUGAGGGGUCUGCUAGGUUGCAUGUCUAGUUAAAGGAGUAUUAAUUUUCUUAGUAUAAUGAGGAAGGUUGAGGUGGAUGGAGCUUGAAAUCAAGGUAUGGGGAU
rnacentral:lncRNA from 1 species